rnacentral:tRNA from 1 species
AGGGGUAUAAUUCAGUGGUAGAGUAUGUGCUUAGCACACACAAGGCCUUAGGUUUGAUACCCAAUACCAAAG